CAUGUACUCCCUCCGUCUCAAAAUUCUUGUCUUAGAUUUGUCUAAAUAUGGAUGUAUCAAGUCACGUUUUAGUAUUAGGUACAUCCGUAUCUAGACAAAUCUAAGACAAGAAUUUUCGGAUGGAGGGAGUAUAAA
rnacentral:pre_miRNA from 1 species